rnacentral:lncRNA from 1 species
AUCCUAAGGGGUACUAGGCUAAAAUUCAAAGAGACAAAAGAGACUUGAAAGAAACUGCGGGAGUUGAAUUUACAAAAUAUUUCAUUCACUUCAAUAACUCUAUAUUAACUGUUUCCAUUCUUUUUUUUUCUCCUUUCUCUUUUUUCUUCUUCUUUUUUUCUUUUUCAUAAGGAGUAUGUAUUGACAUGUAUACAUCAUUCUAUUUUUUUAUUUCAUUUUUUUUCUAUUUUCUUUUUCUAUUUUUCUUUUUUUUUCUGUCAACUUCUGAAAUAUUACAAACAUACUUAUUCAACUCCACACAACUCCAAACAAGACUCUUCCAACCCUUUGAAUAGGGUGAUAACAUUGUUUUUCACUUCUCGGCUUGUAAUGAGUUUUAAACAAA